rnacentral:lncRNA from 1 species
GCCUUCCAAAGUGCUGAGAUUACAGGUGUGAGCCACCACACCCGGCCCCUGUUUGGGUUUUAAAUGACAGUUUUCUCUGUUGUGCUAGCACCUCCCCUCAGUUCAGGGACCUUCACCCCCAGCCUGGGCAUUUCGUCUGGAAUGAGACUUGUGGGGUUGCUUGGCGCUUGAGGCCAGGAUAUACUCUGAGCUGCGGAUGGCCAUCUCCUCUCCUGGGGCCUCGUUUCCCUCUGACCUCCUGCCCUCAUCACCUGGUGAUCUGGACCCAGGGCCAUAUCCCUUCUCUGCCCAGUUCUUGGGGCAGUGAUGGUGUCAGGCCGUUUGUGGGUCCCCCUGGUGCCCUGUCUGCCCCUCCACAAGACCUGGGAACUGCGGGAGGACAUGGGGACAGCCCAGGGGCAGGCUGGGGUUCCUGUGUGCUCGGGAAUGCCCCUCAGUUCCGCAUGGCCUUGUCUGUACACGGUGUGUGUGACCUUGUGCCCGACGGUCUGGAGGGACCAUUGAGUGGGCCAUUGCCUGUCCAGGCCUCUCCUGUGCUCCAGAAUGUUACGAGGGAUACCUCUCCAAAGGGGUGGGUGGGGGCGCCGCGUUCACAGUCAGCACCCUGGACAGCCCAUCCCCCAGCUGCUGGUGCAUCCCAUAGCAGGGCCAGGUCCCCCGGGAAGUGGGGGCAUCUCUGUAGAGCUGGCAGACCCCUGCCCACCCUGGGGCUGUGCCCCAAGCCCAGUGCUCCCAGUGAGGACAGAUUCUCUUAAUUAGGGAUGUCCCCUGGCACUUCUGCCACGGAGCUGGCCUCUGGUCCUGCACACUCCAGACACAUCCACCCUGGCUCACACACACCCCGGCUCACAUGCACCCCGGAUCCCACCCCCGCUGACACUCACCCCGGUUCCCAUGCACCCCAGGCUCACAUGCACUCCCGGCUCACACGCACCCCUGCUCACACGCACUCCGGCCCACACGCACCCCUGCUCACACGCACUUCGGCCCACACGCACCCCGCUCACACACCCCGCUCACCCAGUUCCCACGCACCCCAGGCUCCCACGGACCCCCGCUCACAUGCACCCCGGUUCCCACGCACCCCAGGCUCCCAUGCACCCGGCUCACAUUCACGCCCGCUCACACGCACCCCAGCUCACAUGCACCCCCGCUUGCAUGCACCUCGCCUCCCACCCCCGCUCACACACACCCCCGGCUCGCAUCCUGGGCUCACAUGCACCCCCGGCUCCCAUGCACCCCUGGGUCACACACAUCCCCGCUCACACGCACCCCAGCUCUCACGCACCCCCCAGCUCACACCCCCCAGCUUGCACCCCCGGCACACAUGCACCCCGGCUCACACGCACCCCCGGGCUCACACGUGCCCUGGCUCACAUGCACCCCUGGGCUCACACGUGCCCUGACUCGCACACCUGGGCUCACAUGCACCCCGGCUCACACGCACCCCAGGUCACACGCAUCCCCACUCACAUGCACCCAGGCUCACACGCACCCCGGCUCACACGCACCCCCUCUCACACGCACCCCCGCUCACACGUACCCCUGCUCACACGCACCCCGGGCCCACAUGCACUCCGGCUCACACGCACCCUCACUCAUGCACCCUGGGCCCACACGCACCCCAGCUCCCAUGUACCCCUGCUCACAUGCACCCCAGCUCCCAUGCAUCCCGGGCUCACAUACACCUUGACUCACACGUCUCAGGCUCAUGCAUCGGCCCCCUGGUGCGUC